UUUCAUAGUUUGUGCUUUAACCCGCAGCCCCCUUCAGAUUGCAGUAUUUAUUUAUAAAAACCUUCCUUCCCCUCUUCUUCUCCCCCCGCCGCCCCUUGUCGCCUCCGCAUUUCCUCCGGUCCAGGGGGCACGAGCUGGACGCCUUCUCUCUUCUUUGGGAAUGACUGACUGUAGAAGAGUCCAAGCCUGUGGCUAUCAACUGUACUGCCCUGGUUGGAAUUGCUUGGACAGCUGGAUUGCAAGCCUGUGUCCAUGUUAAAAUCAAUCAUUUGGAGAUACAGACUGUUUAGUGAGAUAUAAAUUGAAAUAGUAUUGGAGCUUAGAUAUUCUGAGGAUAUCUAGCAAUACAAGGUUCAUUGGUUAUUUUUGGGAGGUGAUCAAUGUUUUAUUAAAUAGUGCUCAUUAAGUCAGUAGCCAAACAUGCACUGCAAAAGGAAGGCACCACAUGGGGAACCAUCUCAACAAGAACAAGCCAGUCCUGCAGAUGCAAAUGGAUUAUUUGCCAUUGAAGAGGAGAUUUGCCAUCUUACUAGGCUCAAAUCAGAGCCAAGUGAUAGAACUCGUACGCCCCUUCAUGCUCGCAAGAAGUGUCAUAUCUCAACAUUCAAGCUAUUGUCAGGGAGAGAAUCCAAUUUGUCUGGGUUUGGUCGAUUCUCUUCAGCUGAUUGCUCUUAUGCUCUUCGAGAUCACCUACCAGUAAAAGGCCCGUGGUGUGUUGAUGACAUGGAUAGUGAAGCAUACAUCUCACAAUUCUCUUCAGAUGGUUCCCUACUUAUUGGUGGUUUUCGGGGAGGUCACAUCAGAAUCUACAAUGCUGACAAUAAGUGGAAGAUUCAUAAGGAUAUAACCUGCAAAAAGCUGCGGUGGACAGUGUCAGAUAUUGCUCUCUCACCUGAUCAACGAUACCUAGCGUAUUCCAGUCUGUCGCCUACUGUUCACAUAGUAAAUGUUCAGAGUGCUCUGAAGGAGUCACAUGCUAAUAUUACAGAAAUUCAUGAAGGGUUGGAUUUUUCUGAUGAUGACGACGAAUUCUCUUUUGGAAUCUUUUCAGUAAAGUUUUCAAAAGAUGGCCACCAUCUUGUUGUUGGAAACAACAAUGAAUCAAUAUGUAUUUAUGAUCUUGGAGCAAACAAAGUAACAGAACGCUUUCAUGCUCAUAUGGCUGAUGUCAAUGUGGUCACUUUCGCUGAUGAAUCCAGUGAUGUCUUGUACUCUGGGAGUGACGAUAGCCUCUGUAAGGUCUGGGAUAGGCGCUGCCGGAAGAGAGGGAAACCAGUAGGUACUUUGACAGGUCAUUUAGAUGGGAUUACAUUUAUUGAUAGCCGUGGAGACGGGCGUUAUUUCAUCUCCAAUUGCAAGGAUCAGACUAUUAAACUAUGGGAUAUCAGGAAAAUGUCCUCCACUCUGAAGGACUGCACACCAAAAGCACAUGAAUGGGAUUACAGGUGGAUGACUUAUCCAUCAGAAGCCCGACAUUUGAAGCAUCCAUAUGAUCAGUCACUAGCCACGUUCAGAGGCCAUUCAGUGUUGCGCACACUUAUUCGUUGUUAUUUUUCCCCAUCACACAGGGAAGUAAAAGCUCGUGUGGUGUAAGAAGCAAUGGCACAAUAGCAUACUAUCAUCAUAUCAUGCAUCGAUCUGUGUUGUUAUGAGUUACUCCCUCCAUUUCACAAAGUACGGGUCAGAAGUACAUAUACACAGGAUCCAGUGACCAGUGCGUCUACAUUUAUGAUGUGGCCACUGGGAACGUUGUUGAAAGACUCAAAUGGCACGGAUCAAUCGUCAGAGAUUGUUCCUGGCACCCCUGCCUUCCAACGCUUGUUAGCUCUUCAUGGGAUGGCUACUUGGCCCGGUGGGAAGCAACGGAGGAUGACGACGAUCCCACCAAGCUCAAGAGAUGGAAACAGAAGAUGCAGCCAGAGGGAUAUACAUUUGUGUUGUAGAAACUCCCGCUGCCAUUGGCUCCCGCUGCCAUUGGCUGCUGCCUAGCGCGAGCCCUUUUGAUGUUUUCUCAAACUCGCUCCUUGUAUAUGUAGCAAAGGAGUCAGACACUGUUAUAGAUUCACCAGACUGUACAUCAAUUUUUGAAGCCAUUUGAGAUUGAAAAAAAUAUUCAGAAUUUUUUUUUUGGCACA